UACGGAGGGUGCAAGCAUUAAUCGGAUUUAUUGGGCGUAAAGGGCGCGUAGGCGGGAUAGUUUGUCAGAUGUGAAAUCCUGGGGCUCAACCUCAGAACUGCAUUUGAAACGGCUAAUCUAGAGGGUAAGAGGGGAAAACGGAAUUCCACAUGUAGCGGUGAAAUGCGUAGAUAUGUGGAAGAACACCAGUGGCGAAGGCGGUUUUCUAGCUUAUUCCUGACGCUGAGGCGCGAAAGCAAGGGGAGCAAACAGG
rnacentral:rRNA from 1 species